AUGCAAGUCGAGGGGCAGCGGGAUUGAAGCUUGCUUCAAUUGCCGGCGACCGGCGCACGGGUGAGUAACGCGUAUCCAACCUUCCGUACACUCAGGGAUAGCCUUUCGAAAGAAAGAUUAAUACCUGAUGGUAUGAUGAAAUUGCAUGAUAGCAUCAUUAAAGAUUUAUCGGUGUACGAUGGGGAUGCGUUCCAUUAGGUAGUAGGCGGGGUAACGGCCCACCUAGCCUACGAUGGAUAGGGGUUCUGAGAGGAAGGUCCCCCACAUUGGAACUGAGACACGGUCCAAACUCCUACGGGAGGCAGCAGUGAGGAAUAUUGGUCAAUGGACGAGAGUCUGAACCAGCCAAGUAGCGUGAAGGAUGAAGGUCCUACGGAUUGUAAACUUCUUUUAUAAGGGAAUAAAACCUCCCACGUGUGGGAGCUUGUAUGUACCUUAUGAAUAAGCAUCGGCUAACUCCGUGCCAGCAGCCGCGGUAAUACGGAGGAUGCGAGCGUUAUCCGGAUUUAUUGGGUUUAAAGGGAGCGCAGACGGGUCGUUAAGUCAGCUGUGAAAGUUUGGGGCUCAACCUUAAAAUUGCAGUUGAUACUGGCGUCCUUGAGUGCGGUUGAGGUGUGCGGAAUUCGUGGUGUAGCGGUGAAAUGCUUAGAUAUCACGAAGAACUCCGAUU
rnacentral:rRNA from 1 species